UACGGGGGGGGCAAGCGUUGUUCGGAAUUACUGGGCGUAAAGGGCUCGUAGGUGGCCAACUAAGUCAGACGUGAAAUCCCUCGGCUUAACCGGGGAACUGCGUCUGAUACUGGAUGGCUUGAGAUUGGGAGAGGGAUGCGGAAUUCCAGGUGUAGCAGUGAAAUGCGUAGAUAUGUGGAGGAACACCGAUGGCGAAGGCAGCCCCCUGGGUUAACACUGACGCUCAUGCACGAAAGCGUGGGGAGCAAACAGG
rnacentral:rRNA from 1 species